rnacentral:rRNA from 1 species
UACAGAGGGUGCGAGCGUUAAUCGGAAUUACUGGGCGUAAAGCGCGCGUAGGCGGUUUUGUAAGUCGGGUGUGAAAGCCCCGGGCUUAACCUGGGAACUGCGUUUGAAACUGGGAGACUUGAGUGUGGCAGAGGGGGGUGGAAUUCCACGUGUAGCAGUGAAAUGCGUAGAUAUGUGGAGGAACACCGAUGGCGAAGGCAGCCCCCUGGGUUAACACUGACGCUCAUGCACGAAAGCGUGGGGAGCAAACAGG